rnacentral:rRNA from 1 species
UACGGAGGGUGCAAGCGUUAAUCGGAAUUACUGGGCGUAAAGAGUGCGUAGGUGGUUGAAUAAGUUAUCUGUGAAAUCCCUGGGCUUAACCUGGGCAGGUCAGAUGAUACUGUUUGACUCGAGUAUGGGAGAGGGUAGUGGAAUUUCCGGUGUAGCGGUGAAGUGCGUAGAGAUCGGAAGGAACACCAGUGGCGAAGGCGGCUACCUGGCCUAAUACUGACACUGAGGCACGAAAGCGUGGGGAGCAAACAGG